rnacentral:rRNA from 1 species
ACGAAGUAGCAAUACUUAGUGGCAGACGGGUGAGUAACAUGUAGGUAUCUACCCUAUGGCCUGGAAUAACACGAGGAAACUUGUGCUAAUACCGGAUAAGUCUUUACGGAGAAAGCUUUAUGCACCAUUGGAUGAGCCUGCACUUGAUUAGUUUGUUGGUGGGGUAAUGGCCUACCAAGACAAUGAUCAAUAGCUGAUUUGAGAGGAUGAUCAGCCACAUUGGGACUGAGACACGGCCCAAACUCCUACGGGAGGCAGCAGUAGGGAAUCUUGCACAAUGGGGGAAACCCUGAUGCAGCGAUGCCGCGUGAGUGAAGAAGGCCUUUGGGUUGUAAAGCUCUUUCGUCGGGGAAGAAAAUGACUGUACCCGAAUAAGAAGGUCCGGC